CGUAUAGUACGGAUCCUUAAUAUUGGGGUGCUAACACCUUCCCCAGGGGAUCAUCAGAACCCUUACCUAGAACUCUGAAUUACGAAGAUUCUUUCACGGUAUUUGAAUAAUCCCUUCAAAACUGAUUUUUCUAAUUUCCUAAAAAUUAGGUAGCGAGUCUUUAAAAAUACAUAAAGUCCAAAAGAGCACCAUCGAGUUCGUAGUAGCCUUUUAUGCCCUAACCCCGCGUAAAAAGUGAACCGCGACAAAUGCAAUUGAACAAGACUGUCCACCUCCAAUACUGUCUGGUUAGGAUAUUUGGGAGAGGGUUCAGAACCUCCCAAAGGUUACUAAAGAAGAAUCGUACAGAUUCGAUGGGUAUGGGGGUUUACCAUAACUGGACAUAAUAGAGCAUAUUUUGGAAGUUGCAAUAUUGGAAGGAUAAUCUUUUGCGCCAUAAUCUUGAUGUCAUGCACAUUGGAAAAAAAUUACUUUGAUAAUUUGUUUAACACAGUGAUGGAUGUGAAGGGCAAGACUAAAGAUAAUGUUAAGGCUAGAAUAGACUUGCUUGAAUAUUGUGGACAACAAGAGUUAUGGUUGCAGCCAAAACAGAAAAGGGUCUUCAAGCUUAAGGCUAGCUAUUCUUUCAAAAUGGAGCAGAAGCGAAAGAUUUGUGAGUGGUUCCAGAACUUGAAGAUGCCAGAUGGGCAUGCAUAAAAUUUUAGAAUGCGUGUUGAUAUAGAUCAAGACAGGAUACAUGGGAUGAAAAGUCAUGACUGUCACGUUUUCAUGGAAACUUAACCCCCCCUGCAUUUAGUGGCUUGCCUGAACGAAUCUGGAAACCUAUGACGUAAAUUAGUUUGUUCUUCAAGGACUUGUGUUCCUGUACGUUGAGGGAAGACAACCUUUCUCCGAUGGAUCAAAAUAUCCCUGUUAUCACAAACAAGCUGGAGAAAAUUCUCCCACCGGGUUCUUUGAUGUGACAAAACAUCUUGCAAUUUGCCUAGCGUACGAAGCCCGACUCGGAGGCCCAGUUCAAUAUAGGUGGAUUUAUCCCUUUGAGAGGUCUACUGGUAAGCUAAAAAGGACUAUCAAGCAGAAAUCAAAAGUGGAAAGCUCAAUGUGCGAAAUUUACCUUGCCAACGAAACAUAUCAUUUUUGUUCUUACUAUUUUCGGAAUGGUGUGACUUUUUUGAGAAACAGGCCUAAUCGACACUAUGAUGGAGGUGUGAAUAAUUAUUUGGCUAAGCUGAUAUCAAUCUUCAAUCGACCAGGUGAUAGGUCAAAAGAACGUUAGAGACCAUUGAAUCAAAUAGAAGAUAAAUCGGCAUCGACACAUAUCUUAUUAAAUUGCCGGAAAGUUCAACCUUAUUAUGAACUCUUUGUGGAGAUACAUGGCCAAGAAAAAGUACGAUCAAUUUGCAGCGUGGUUUAACACUUACGUAAGUUUUAUAAUUUUCUAACACAAAGCUAUCAUAAAUUACAAAGUUUUUAAUUCUACAAUUUCUAACUUUCUAUUUCUUAACUUUUAUUAAGUUCACAAUACACCCAGGGGCGGAACUACAGGGGUGCAAGGGGUGUCAAUCGAACCCCCUUCGUCGGAAAAUUGCACUAUAUAUAUAGGGUCAAUUUUUUUAUUCAUGUAUAAAUAUUAAUGUUGCAUCCCCUUCACAUAAUGGAGAACUCAGCUCAGCGGCUGAGAUGCCUACUAUUGAGCCCAUGGUUGCGGGUUCGAUUCUCUGUAACAACACUUUUUAACCCUUUUUCAUCUAGUCCCUUUUUCUUGAAACCCCUUAUCAAAUGUUCUGGCUCCACCCCUGAAUACACCUUGUGGUUUUCAUGAAUAAUUUUUGAAAGACUUAUCUUAGGGAUAUGGACAAAUAUGUAGUUAAUGAUUUCAACCGAGAAUGUACUAACCAUAUGAAAAAUAAUAAUAGUGGUGUGUGGGUUAAAAGUGCUGAUAGUGUUGAUUAUUUUGGUGUAAUGGAAGAGAUUUUUGAAUUAGAGUAUACUCGUUGGCCUGUUAAAAAAAAUUGUUCUUUUCUGGUGCAACUGGUUUGAUCCGACUCCAAAAAGAGGUAUGAGGGUACUGAAGGAGUACAAUAUCAUUGAAGUAAAGCACACGCGGAGGUAUGAAGCUUAUGAUCCUUUCGUCCUUGCGCACAACGUUAAGCAGGUGUACUAUGUCCCUUAUCCAUUGAGACCAGAUAAGUCUGAUUGGUGGGUGGUAAUUAAAACUAAGCUUGUUGGUCGUGUGAAAGUUGAGAAUGACCUGCCCGCUGCCUUCAGAAUGACGACAUAUCAUAUGUUAGCCAAAUAGUCGACCCUGAAUUAGAAACGGAGCUGGAGGAUCCAGAAUAGACAUUAGAAGAAGCUUUUGAAGAAGUGGAAGAAAAUGAUGAAAAUGAAACAAGUGAUGAGGAAGAGUGGUCAGACGAGGAAGAAAAUGAUGAAAAUUAGCAUGUAUUUCAUUUUAGAACUAUUAAAUAUGUGUAGUUUUAUUUAUUUGAUUAUAAGACUUAUAAGUAUCUGAAUACUUAAGCUUCCUUAUU